UACGUAGGGGGCAAGCGUUGUCCGGAAUCAUUGGGCGUAAAGCGCGUGUAGGCGGCUAGGUAAGUCUGCUCUGAAAGCCCGGGGCUCAACCCCGGGAGGCGGGUGGAUACUGUCUAGCUCGAGUCCGGAAGAGGAGUGUGGAAUUCCUGGUGUAGCGGUGAAAUGCGCAGAUAUCAGGAGGAACACCAAUGGCGAAGGCAGCA
rnacentral:rRNA from 1 species